rnacentral:pre_miRNA from 1 species
AUAGCAAUCACAUGAGGAUUUUGGGAAAAUGCAGAUUCUGAUUCAGUAGGUCUGGGACAUGGCCUGAGAUUCAGCAUUUCUCUCAAGCUCCUAGGUAAUGCUGAU